UGUAGGGUGGUGAAAUGGCAGACACACCUCCUUAUAAUGGUGAAGAAAGUUCAAAAGACUGGAUUCUUGUAGGUUCGACUCCUACCCCUACAG
rnacentral:tRNA from 2 species